GGGCGUGUAGCUCAGUUGGGAGAGCGCUAGAAUCGCACUCUAGAGGUCAGGGGUUCGAAUCCCCUCACGUCCACCA
rnacentral:tRNA from 4 species